AUUGAACGCUGGCGGCAUGCCUUACACAUGCAAGUCGAACGGCAGCACGGGGGCAACCCUGGUGGCGAGUGGCGAACGGGUGAGUAAUGCAUCGGAACGUGCCCAGUAGUGGGGGAUAACCCGGCGAAAGCCGGGCUAAUACCGCAUACGACCUACGGGUGAAAGCGGGGGACCGUAAGGCCUCGCGCUAUUGGAGCGGCCGAUGUCUGAUUAGCUAGUUGGCGGGGUAAAGGCCCACCAAGGCGACGAUCAGUAGCUGGUCUGAGAGGACGACCAGCCACACUGGGACUGAGACACGGCCCAGACUCCUACGGGAGGCAGCAGUGGGGAAUUUUGGACAAUGGGCGCAAGCCUGAUCCAGCCAUGCCGCGUGCGGGAAGAAGGCCUUCGGGUUGUAAACCGCUUUUGGCAGGAACGAAACGGCGCAAGCUAAUACCUUGCGCUAAUGACGGUACCUGCAGAAUAAGCACCGGCUAACUACGUGCCAGCAGCCGCAGUAAAAC
rnacentral:rRNA from 1 species